AGACCCAGAUGAGAUGAUGACCACGCUCGUUAGAGUAGCCUAUUCAUUCGUUUAUUCUGCGCGCUCGAUUGGUCCAGAAUACUCAACUGUGCGGUGAGGGAGUGAAUGCCGACUUGAGAGAUAUUUUUUGAGAAGCUCUUCGGAAACAAUCUUCCUCCAUUUUUUUAAUAAGAACGUCGUAAAUUGUACAAUUCUUGAAAUAGUUAGAUCCUCAGAAUUACGCCCGCGUGAUUGUCUGGUGAGAGACAAGUCACUCCAUCAAGGAGGUGCUGUAAUUUUUUUGGGUGGGGGGGACGAACGAUACCGGAUGUCUCUGGAAGAGAUUCCCUAAAAACGUUUUUUAGCUGUACCAUUCUAACCGAACGAGGUUGGCUCGAGGAGGAGGACACACAAUAGCGCGCCGCGAAAUAAACAGCGUGGCUAACAAAAGAAACCAGCCUUGGUUUUUGACACGUUCGCGGUUUACAGAAAUUCAACUAUUCAGGAAGACCCCUUUGUCAACCCAUGAGAAUAUAAAGUGGAUUCGCAUUUUAGGUGUGUAUGUGAAGCGGGCUGCUGUGGAACUGAGCAAGGACUACUCCACGGAAGAUGAGGAAGAGCAGAAGUGUGGUGACAGUGUCGCCCAAUGAUG